GCCCUUGUAGCUCAGUUGGUAGAGCGCAUCCUUGGUAAGGAUGAGGUCAGCGGUUCGAAUCCGCUCAAGGGCUCCA
rnacentral:tRNA from 1 species